rnacentral:rRNA from 1 species
AGCGAACGCUGGCGGCAGGCCUAACACAUGCGAGUCGAACGAACCUUUCGGGGUUAGUGGCGGACGGGUGAGUAACACGUGGGAACGUGCCUUUAGGUUCGGAAUAACUCAGGGAAACUUGUGCUAAUACCGAAUGUGCCCUUCGGGGGAAAGAUUUAUCGCCUUUAGAGCGGCCCGCGUCUGAUUAGCUAGUUGGUUGAGGUAAUGGCUCACCAAGGCGACGAUCAGUAGCUGGUCUGAGAGGAUGAUCAGCCACAUUGGGACUGAGACACGGCCCAAACUCCUACGGGAGGCAGCAGUGGGGAAUCUUGCGCAAUGGGCGAAAGCCUGACGCAGCCAUGCAGCGUGAAUGAUGAAGGUCUUAGGAUUGUAAAAUUCUUUCACCGGGGACGAUAAUGACGGUACCCGGAGAAGAAGCCCCGGCUAACUUCGUG